rnacentral:lncRNA from 10 species
CUGGUGUGAGUUGUGGGGUGGUUCUCUGUGAGGAAUCGCUGCACUGUCUUCCACAAUUGUUGAGCUAAUUUACAGUCCCACCAACAGUGUAAAAGCAUUCCUAGUUUUCCUCAUCCUCUCCAGCAUCUGUUGUUUCCUGACUUUUUAAUGAUUGCGUGUUUUAGUCAUGAAGUCUUUGCCCAUGCCUAUGUCCUGAAUGGUAUUGCCUAGGUUUUCUUCUAGGGUUUUUAUGGUUUUAGAUUUUACAUUUAAGUCUUUAAUCCAUCUUGAGUUAAUUUUUGUAUAGGGUGUAAGGUGAGGGGUCCAAUUUCAGUUUUCUGCAUAUGGCUAGCCAGUUUUCCCAGCACCAUUUAUUAAAUAGGGAAUCCUUUCCCCAUUUCUUGUUUUUGUCAGGUUUGUCAAAGAUCAGAUGGUUGUAGAUGUGUGGUGUUGUUUUUGAGGCCUCUGUUCUGUUCCAUUCUUCUAUAUAUCUGUUUUGGUACCAGUACCAUGAUGUUUUGGUUACUGUAGACUUGUGUAGUUUGAAGUCAGAUAGUGUGAUGACUCCAGCUUUGUUCUUUUUGCUUAGGAUUGUCUUGGCUAU